rnacentral:rRNA from 1 species
GGUUAAGUGACUAAGCGUACACGGUGGAUGCCCUGGCAGUCAGAGGCGAUGAAGGACGUGCUAAUCUGCGAAAAGCGUCGGUAAGGUGAUAUGAACCGUUAUAACCGGCGAUGUCCGAAUGGGGAAACCCAGUGUGAUUCGUCACACUAUCGUUAACUGAAUACAUAGGUUAACGAGGCGAACCGGGGGAACUGAAACAUCUAAGUACCCCGAGGAAAAGAAAUCAACCGAGAUUCCCCCAGUAGCGGCGAGCGAACGGGGAGCAGCCCAGAGUCUGAAUCAGCUUGUGUGUUAGUGGAACGGUCUGGAAAGUCCGACGGUACAGGGUGAUAGUCCCGUACACCAAAAUGCACAGGUUGUGAACUCGAAGAGUAGGGCGGGACACGUGGUAUCCUGUCUGAAUAUGGGGGGACCAUCCUCCAAGGCUAAAUACUCCUGACUGACCGAUAGUGAACCAGUACCGUGAGGGAAAGGCGAAAAGAACCCCGGCGAGGGGAGUGAAAAAGAACCUGAAACCGUGUACGUACAAGCAGUGGGAGCACCUUCGGGUGUGACUGCGUACCUUUUGUAUAAUGGGUCAGCGACUUAUAUUCUGUAGCAAGGUUAACCGUAUAGGGGAGCCGCAGGGAAACCGAGUCUUAACUGGGCGUUAAGUUGCAGGGUAUAGACCCGAAACCCGGUGAUCUAGCCAUGGGCAGGUUGAAGGUUGGGUAACACUAACUGGAGGACCGAACCGACUAAUGUUGAAAAAUUAGCGGAUGACUUGUGGCUGGGGGUGAAAGGCCAAUCAAACCGGGAGAUAGCUGGUUCUCCCCGAAAGCUAUUUAGGUAGCGCCUCGUGAACUCAUCUUCGGGGGUAGAGCACUGUUUCGGCUAGGGGGUCAUCCCGACUUACCAACCCGAUGCAAACUACGAAUACCGAAGAAUGUUAUCACGGGAGACACACGGCGGGUGCUAACGUCCGUCGUGAAGAGGGAAACAACCCAGACCGCCAGCUAAGGUCCCAAAGUCAUGGUUAAGUGGGAAACGAUGUGGGAAGGCACAGACAGCCAGGAUGUUGGCUUAGAAGCAGCCAUCAUUUAAAGAAAGCGUAAUAGCUCACUGGUCGAGUCGGCCUGCGCGGAAGAUGUAACGGGGCUAAACCAUGCACCGAAGCUGCGGCAGCGACACUAUGUGUUGUUGGGUAGGGGAGCGUUCUGUAAGCCUGCGAAGGUGUGCUGUGAGGCAUGCUGGAGGUAUCAGAAGUGCGAAUGCUGACAUAAGUAACGAUAAAGCGGGUGAAAAGCCCGCUCGCCGGAAGACCAAGGGUUCCUGUCCAACGUUAAUCGGGGCAGGGUGAGUCGACCCCUAAGGCGAGGCCGAAAGGCGUAGUCGAUGGGAAACAGGUUAAUAUUCCUGUACUUGGUGUUACUGCGAAGGGGGGACGGAGAAGGCUAUGUUAGCCGGGCGACGGUUGUCCCGGUUUAAGCAUGUAGGCUGGUUGUCCAGGCAAAUCCGGAUAAUCAAGGCUGAGGUGUGAUGACGAGGCACUACGGUGCUGAAGUAACAAAUGCCCUGCUUCCAGGAAAAGCCUCUAAGCAUCAGGUAACAUUAAAUCGUACCCCAAACCGACACAGGUGGUCAGGUAGAGAAUACCAAGGCGCUUGAGAGAACUCGGGUGAAGGAACUAGGCAAAAUGGUGCCGUAACUUCGGGAGAAGGCACGCUGGUGUGUAGGUGAAGUCCCUGCGGAUGGAGCUGAGACCAGUCGAAGAUACCAGCUGGCUGCAACUGUUUAUUAAAAACACAGCACUGUGCAAACACGAAAGUGGACGUAUACGGUGUGACGCCUGCCCGGUGCCGGAAGGUUAAUUGAUGGGGUUAUCCGUAAGGAGAAGCUCUUGAUCGAAGCCCCGGUAAACGGCGGCCGUAACUAUAACGGUCCUAAGGUAGCGAAAUUCCUUGUCGGGUAAGUUCCGACCUGCACGAAUGGCGUAAUGAUGGCCAGGCUGUCUCCACCCGAGACUCAGUGAAAUUGAACUCGCUGUGAAGAUGCAGUGUACCCGCGGCAAGACGGAAAGACCCCGUGAACCUUUACUAUAGCUUGACACUGAACAUUGAGCCUUGAUGUGUAGGAUAGGUGGGAGGCUUUGAAGCGUGGACGCCAGUCUGCGUGGAGCCAACCUUGAAAUACCACCCUUUAAUGUUUGAUGUUCUAACGUUGGCCCCUUACCGGGGUUGCGGACAGUGUCUGGUGGGUAGUUUGACUGGGGCGGUCUCCUCCCAAAGCGUAACGGAGGAGCACGAAGGUUAGCUAAUCCUGGUCGGACAUCAGGAGGUUAGUGCAAUGGCAUAAGCUAGCUUGACUGCGAGCGUGACGGCGCGAGCAGGUGCGAAAGCAGGUCAUAGUGAUCCGGUGGUUCUGAAUGGAAGGGCCAUCGCUCAACGGAUAAAAGGUACUCCGGGGAUAACAGGCUGAUACCGCCCAAGAGUUCAUAUCGACGGCGGUGUUUGGCACCUCGAUGUCGGCUCAUCACAUCCUGGGGCUGAAGUAGGUCCCAAGGGUAUGGCUGUUCGCCAUUUAAAGUGGUACGCGAGCUGGGUUUAGAACGUCGUGAGACAGUUCGGUCCCUAUCUGCCGUGGGCGCUGGAGAAUUGAGGGGGGCUGCUCCUAGUACGAGAGGACCGGAGUGGACGCAUCACUGGUGUUCGGGUUGUCAUGCCAAUGGCACUGCCCGGUAGCUAAAUGCGGAAGAGAUAAGUGCUGAAAGCAUCUAAGCACGAAACUUGCCCCGAGAUGAGUUCUCCCUGAGACUUUAAGUCUCCUGAAGGAACGUUGAAGACGACGACGUUGAUAGGCCGGGUGUGUAAGCGCAGCGAUGCGUUGAGCUAACCGGUACUAAUGAACCGUGAGGCUUAACCUU